AUGGGAUUCCUCAGGAAGUUCUCCAAGCAGACCGGCAAGCUCAAGUCCCUUCUCGAGCUCACCGUCUCACGUGUAGCCAUCGCCCGCAAGCCUCGCCUUGCUCGCAAGUCCAUUGCUUCCGGCGACGUCUGCCAGCUCCUCUCCCUCGGCCAAACCGACCGCGCUCUCCAGCGAGUCAUAAAGGAGGACAACAUGUUGGAGGCGCUCGGCAUCAUAGAGCUCUACUGCAAGUGUCUCGUCAAGAAAGCCGCUCAGCUAGACAAGCCCAAGGAAUGCGCCGAGGAGGUAAAGAAAGCGGCUGCCGGCAUCAUAUUUGCUGCCAAGCGCUGCAGUGACCUGCCGGAGCUGCAGUCUGCCCGCAAGAUCCUCGCCGACAAGUUCGGCGACGAUUUCACUGCCGACGCCAAGGUGGGCAGCGCGGUCGUCGACCCGAUGCUGGUGUGGAAGUUGUCCGGAGACAAGGCAAGCAUUAGCCUGAAGAAGAAGGUGGCCAAAGAGAUCGCCGCCGAGAACAAUAUCUCGGUGGAUUUGUCCAAGUCCCCAUAA
rnacentral:rRNA from 1 species